UGGUAUUCCAGUCUAUGAACACAUGUGCC
rnacentral:piRNA from 1 species